UCCUACGGGAGGCAGCAGUGAGGAAUAUUGGGCAAUGGACGAAAGUCUGACCCAGCAACGCCGCGUGGAGGAUGACGGCCGUAAGGUUGUAAACUCCUUUUGAAGGGGACGAAAAAUUUCGAUAACACCGAAACUUGACUGUACCCUUAGAAGAAGCCCCGGCUAACUACGUGCCAGCAGCCGCGGUAAUACGGAGGGUGCAAGCGUUAUCCGGAUUCACUGGGUUUAAAGGGUGCGUAGGCGGGCAGGUAAGUCAGUGGUGAAAUCCUGGAGCUUAACUCCAGAACUGCCAUUGAUACUAUCUGUCUUGAAUACUGUGGAGGUAAGCGGAAUAUGUCAUGUAGCGGUGAAAUGCUUAGAUAUGACAUAGAACACCUAUUGCGAAGGCAGCUUACUACGCAUAUAUUGACGCUGAGGCACGAAAGCGUGGGGAUCAAACAGGAUUAGAUACCCUAGUAGUCCAAGCCG
rnacentral:rRNA from 1 species